rnacentral:rRNA from 1 species
AUUGAACGCUGGCGGCAGGCCUAACACAUGCAAGUCGAGCGGAUGAAGGGAGCUUGCUCCUGGAUUCAGCGGCGGACGGGUGAGUAAUGCCUAGGAAUCUGCCUGGUAGUGGGGGAUAACGUCCGGAAACGAGCGCUAAUACCGCAUACGUCCUGAGGGAGAAAGUGGGGGAUCUUCGGACCUCACGCUAUCAGAUGAGCCUAGGUCGGAUUAGCUAGUUGGUGGGGUAAAGGCCUACCAAGGCGACGAUCCGUAACUGGUCUGAGAGGAUGAUCAGUCACACUGGAACUGAGACACGGUCCAGACUCCUACGGGAGGCAGCAGUGGGGAAUAUUGGACAAUGGGCGAAAGCCUGAUCCAGCCAUGCCGCGUGUGUGAAGAAGGUCUUCGGAUUGUAAAGCACUUUAAGUUGGGAGGAAGGGCAGUAAGUUAAUACCUUGCUGUUUUGACGUUACCAACAGAAUAAGCACCGGCUAACUUCGU